rnacentral:rRNA from 1 species
AUGACCGACCUGUACUGCUGCAAUCAGGCCAACAACAUGGCAAGCAGUAUUAGUAGCACCGGUCGUUUUCGACCAACCAGUAUACAUGUUCUCAGGGCAUUCUGGGACUUCUACGAUUCACCUCGCACCGACCCACCCCGCCCGUUGUUUUCAUCUAUGGACUCUGGUAGAGUUCCGGUGGCCACCACUGUGCCUCCUCUUUCUUCUCCAGCCCGCCUUCCCUCGCUCAAGAAGCCCGAGUCUCGUUCCUUCCCCGUGCAUGGAUCCGGCGCUCGACUGCGUGGCCGUCGAGUUGCCCCGGCCCCCCCGCACCGGCCGUGCCGUGCCGUGCGUGCCACGGUGACGCCUCCGCGGAGGCGGAGCCAUGCAUGGGAGGCCAAGGUGACCUCUCCAGCCAGCCAGCCAGCUUUGAAUGUUGGGCUGAUCAAACGUAUCGGAAGUGGCACAACAGUGUCUAUAUGGGAGGAUAAAUGGAUCCCAAAUACAUUGACAAAGGCACCUGUUGCACGUCUUGGCGAUGUACAAAUCAGCUGGGUAGCAAACAUUAUUGAUGAUGAGAAUUGGACUUGGAAGUCUGAAGUUAUAAGACAAUCCUUUAUCCCUCCAGAUGCGGAUGCAAUCCUUAAUAUCCCUUUGAGGACUGGAGGGGGAGAUGAUUUCUAUGCCUGGGCGUCUGAGAGGUCCGGGAUUUAUACUGUAAAAUCAGCGUAUCGCUCUCUAAUGAUUCAGAACGAGCAUAAAGCUCUAGAAGAAGGGACGACUACAGAUACUUCGGAGAUGGAUAAACAGUUGUGGUCUCGGUUAUGGAAACUCAAAGUGCUGCCCAAAGUUCGCGUCUUCUGGUGGCGCGUGAUGCGAGGGAUUCUUCCCGUCGAAAAUUCUGAUAGAGCAAAACUUGUGUCUAUCAUGUGGGCUAUUUGGACUUCACGCAACAACAUCACACAUGACAAAGGAGAGUUUGAUCCUGUUCGGUCCAUGAAGCACAUACAGGAAGCUUUAGCGAUUUUAGAGUUACCUCAAGAUCAUGCUCGGAUCUUGCCUGGUCAUGGUUGGAGGCCGUCGGAUGAUGCGUGGAUAAAAAUCAACGUCGACGGUAGCAUUGCCAUGGAGUCCCGCCGAGGAGGGGUUGGAGGGGUAGCACGUUCUCCGUCUGCUUUCAAGGCUGCAUGGUGUAAGCCAUACUAUGGAAUCACAGACCCUCUUCUGGCUGAAGCGUUGGCUCUUCGAGAUGGCGUAAUUUUCGCAAAGCUUCGAGGUUAUGAUCAAGUCAUCUUGGAGACGGAUAGCCAAGAGGUUGUUAACCUCUGGCACUCGCGCCAUGAUUUUUCAAUGGUGGCGCCGAUUCUUGACGAGAUUGGGGAGCAUGCCAGCUCUUUUAAAUUUUUUCUUAUUCAACAUGUGGUGAGAUCAGCAAAUUUUCCUGCUCACCUUUGUGCGAAGCAACCUAACAUGAUGGAUGUAACAGAUUUGUGUGGGCGCUGCAUGCGUACGGCGGCGUGCACGAUGGACGGGCAUGGAUCCCCACCCAGCGACGCCGUUCGUAUGCGCGUGCAUGUGGAAUGUCCUGCGUGCCGGAUCGGUUAUUGGGCGUUGAUGAUUGCCCUAUCUGCUCCGGUUUUAUGGCCAGCUGAGCUUCUCCUUUUCCAAGCUUCCGGUGUGCGCGUUCACAGUCUGUCUGCUAACCUAACCGGUACCCGGCCGGCCGGUGCGGUGGCGAUGCUUCCCGACGAUGAUGGGAGCUUCGGUUCACCCAAUCAGAAAGUAACUGAUGUGCAGCUAGCUAUAGCUAGCUACCUCGUCCUUGAGCUAAACACGUACCAUACAGUCCGUCCAGACCCCAGACUGUGUUGUAUAAAUCCCUCGUGCCCGUGCCUGCCGGUCCUUGUUUACACUCGGAGCGUCGUCGCCGACGCGGUGAAGCUGCAUUGCUUAACCACAUUGCCCGCCGCCUCCAAGUUAAAUGCCGGACCCAACAGCGCGCGAGUGGCAAAAAGGCCCAAUCGGUGA